GCGGCGGACGGGUGAGUAACGCGUGGGUAACCUACCCUGUACACACGGAUAACAUACCGAAAGGUAUGCUAAUACGGGAUAAUAUAUUUGAGAGGCAUCUCUUAAAUAUCAAAGGUGAGCCAGUACAGGAUGGACCCGCGUCUGAUUAGUUAGUUGGUAAGGUAACGGCUUACCAAGGCGACGAUCAGUAGCCGACCUGAGAGGGUGAUCGGCCACAUUGGAACUGAGACACGGUCCAAACUCCUACGGGAGGCAGCAUG
rnacentral:rRNA from 1 species